GAUGACAAAGGUUUAAAACUCGACAUUCAUGUUGUUGCUUUUCUUUGUGCACAAAUUAUUUCACGGGGUGUUGUCCAACUUGACUCUUUUUUUUUCACUCAAUUUUUCUUUUGAGUAUCUCAUUAUGGCAUGAGUCUUUGACUUAGGCAAGUACUUUUACCUCAUCUCCAUUUUUCAUUUCUUUUCUCUUUUUUUUUCUUUUCGGUAGAAGUAUAUGUUUUCACAAGCUUUUUUCUU
rnacentral:lncRNA from 1 species